AGGCUGCAACUCUGAGGACCCAUCAGGCCUUCAAGAUAAUCUGGAAGGUGCCAACCUGAAAGGAGUGGCCAUGGAGGGCAGUCAGAUGACAGGAAUUAACCUCUGAGUUGCAACGCUGAGAAACGCCAAACUAAAGAACUGUAACCUCAGGGGAGCAACGUUGGCAGGAACUGAUUUGGAAGUUGUGACCUCCAGGAAGCCAAUUUGAGGGGCUCUGAUGUGAAAGGAGCCAUCUUUGAAGAGAUGCUGACCCCCCUGCACAUGUCCCAGAGCAUCAGAUAGGGAAGAGAAGACGUCAAAGAGGAAGAAAUCCAAACAUUUGUCGUGA